rnacentral:rRNA from 1 species
AUUCCAGCUCCAAUAGUGUAUAUUAAAGUUGUUGCAGUUAAAAAGCUCGUAGUUGGAUUUCUGGCGGGAGCGAUCGGUCCUUCACUCAGUGUUGGAACCUGAUUGUCUCCUGCCAUCCAUGGAGAAAACUUAUCUGGCAUUAAGUUGUCGGGUAGGCAAUCUCCAUCUUUUACUGUGAAAAAAUUAGAGUGUUCAAAGCAGGCUUAUGCCGUUGAAUAUAUUAGCAUGGAAUAAUAAGAUAGGACUAUGGUACUAUUUUGUUGGUUUGUGCACCAUGGUAAUGAUUAAUAGGGACAAUUGGGGGCAUUUGUAUUCAAACGACAGAGGUGAAAUUCUUGGAUUGUUGGAAGAUAAACAGCUGCGAAAGCGUCUGCCAAGGACAUUUUCAUCA